rnacentral:lncRNA from 1 species
AAGGGCAGUAGUCUUAAACCAUACUCUAAAAUCUUCUUAUAAUUCCAGUUGUAAUAUUUUGCUAGCAUAUAAUGGCUUCUUCAAUGGGCUUGAAGCUGACCUAUGCCAUGCUUAUAGCGAUGGUUGUUAGUGCACCUCUAGCAGAAGCUGCCAUCUCUUGUGGCCAAGUGUCAAGCAGCUUGGCACAAUGUAUAGGCUACCUCCAGAAAGGUGGGGCUUUGCCUGCAGCUUGCUGCAGUGGGUUGAAAGCACUUAAUUCUGCAUCCAAGACCACCCCUGACCGCCAAGGGGUCUGCAACUGUUUGAAAUCCUUGGCUGGUAAGAUCUCUGGCCUCAACUAUGGCUUGGCUGCUGGCCUCCCUUCAAAGUGUGGUGUAUCCAUCUCCUACAAAAUCAGUCCUUCCACAGAUUGCAAAAGGUACGUAUUCUAUACUUCAUGUGUGCAUGCAUGCCACUGGAAAUUAUUAGCCCGAUUUCAUAAAUCACAAUAAUAUAGAAAUAUUGACUUCUUUUUUUGUUUUUGUUUUUGUUUUUGUGGCAGCGUGAAGUGAAGAAUUGAAGCAGAUUAUGAAGUAUAAUAAUAAGCUAGUGCUAGAAUAAAAGGGGUGCUCGAGCCUGUUCGAACUAAUUCCCCGUUGAGGGAUUUAGAGUCUUUUCUUUCUUACGAGUUUGUGUUUACAAUAUUGUAUGCAUUAUGUGUCUACAAAAAACUCGUAUUUUUUCUUCCCUCACUUUUUUAUAAAAGAGUGUUGUGAGAGUAGAAUAUUUUUUGCAUGCUGUUCUGGGGUAACGGGAAGAAAAAAACGAAACAAUGGCUUCAGCAUAUCGCACAAAAUAUAAUAAUAGAAGAUUAUAAAAAAAAUAAAAUGUUCAGCAAAUAAACAACCAAGUUGGAACUAGUGUCGAAUAAAACUCAGCUGCCAUUCCCUCCACAACUGAACCAAACCCCAGCUGCCUUCCUCGCCAGCACUGAACAGAAACCAGCCAUAACCUCCCCUGAAAUCAGCCCUUAAUUUGACUCCAAAACAGCCACAACACAGCAGCCCUGAAAUCAGCCCCCAGCAACCUGUAGUUCAGGCCAACACUCCCAACGAAGAGAGGAGCACCAACCUAUAAAAAACAGCAGCAAAAACCAUCCAUCCCUCCUCUCUCACCAACAACACAACAACUAAAGUGAUCCGAAGAGGAAAGAGGUGAAAAUAAAGCCAUCACUCACAUGCCCACACUUGAAAUUCUGAAGAGGAAAGAAAGACAGAAUGAUACAUGAAAAGAAAACAUGAGCAAUUUGGUCAGAAAACAGUAUAGACCAUUUAAGUUGAAACUCUAAAAAACGCUUUGGAACUUCCAUUCUCGACGCGGCAUGCAGGUCUUUGCUAUUCUAUAAUGAAUUGCAAAUCGACAGGGAGUUGACAGGUUCUAUGAAGAUGGCAUAGUUGAGUGUAGCACGAGGUGCAAAGUUUUGUGAAGGUAACCUUUUUUAAGGAGGGGGGCUAAAGCGUAACAAGGAUGGCCAUUUAAGAUUUCUUGAAAGUUAUAAGAAAGGAAAUCACAAUAAUUAAGAAGGUGUUAAUUGAAAAGUAUAUAAAACAGAAACUCUUAAUGCUCAGUAACUUGGAUUUAAACAUUGAGAUGGAGUUGCUAGAGAAAAGUAACAGCUGCUGGAAAAAACAGUGAUAAUCAAUAAUAACAGUUGAGCAAAUGGAUUUCUAAUGCCAAGUUAACAUCGAAGAACAACAACUCAUAUUCGCAUCAAUGCUUAGCAGCUGAGGUUCAAAAUUCAGUGCUAGAAGUGCUGGAGAAAAGGUAAAGGUUGCAGGAAAAGACAAUUAUAAUCAAUGAUAACAGUGGAGCAAAUGGAAUCAUUAUUAAAAAAAAAAAAAAAAAGAGGAAAAGAACAUAAUCAAUCACCUGGUCCAUUUGUGUGUGUAACAAUGUUCCAUUCAUUGUAAUGCUAAUUCGAAUUCCGAGCUUUUUAGUUUUAUUCUAUAAAAAGUUUAACCUCCUAAUGUUGCCGACUCAAACUAAAUCAUGCACAAUGAUCACAAAAGGUUUGUGGAGCCAACUUAAUUAAGAUUGUUCCUUCUUGGAAUUCUUCCAAGUAACUUGAAGGACCUUAUAAUUUGAGAUAAAACUUAUAAAUUCUCUUGUCUAUCUCGGCUUGUGGUUGAAGGAUUGACUCUUUUGUCAUAACAGGUAAAUCUUCAAACACCCUUUUAUUUCCAUGAUGCUGCUCGGGUUGAGAAACAUGAAAAACAAGACAAAUUGAUAUAGAAGAGGGCAAACUCAAUUUGUAAGUCACUGCCCCAAUUCGUUCAAUAAUUUUGUAUUGUCCAUAGUACUUAGCAGAUAGCUUGUGUAAAACUUUGUAAGCCAUUGAUUUAUGUUUGUAUGGUUGUUGCUUUAGGUAUACCUAAUCACCAACGCUGAAUUCUUUUUCACUCCUUUUAUUGUUAGCUAGCUGCUUCAUUCUAUGAUAGGCUACCAUAAGGUUAUUUUUUAGCAGAUCAAGCAUGUCUUCCCUCUUACUUAGCAAUUUAUCUGCUGCUUCAAAUUGCAAUUCUUAUGAAAAUAAAGAAUAUGACCAUAUAAAACUUCAUAAAAAGUGACCUUCAUAGACGCGUGUAGCUAGGAUUAUACCACCAUUCUACUAGAGGUAAUAACCACCUAGACCAUUGACUUGGAUUGCUUCCAAUCAUGCACCUCAAAUAGUUUUCUGAACACUUGUUAACAGCUUCAAUUUAUUAAUCAGUUUAUGAGUGGUAGGUUGUAGAAUAAUGUAGCUCUAUUCUUUGAUCUGCAAAGAUGUUCUUCCAUAAUUGACUUAGGAACACAAUGUCUCUAUCAUUUAGACAUGAUCUAUGAAUGCAAUAGACACUGUAGUGGCAGAAUAUGGGUGAGAGAAAGUCAUGAUCUAUGAAUGCAAUAGACACUGUAGUGGCAGAAUAUGGGUGAGAGAAAGUCGUAAAAUGAGAGUACUUGUUAAACCUGUUCAAAACCACAAAAAUGAUCUCCUUUCCUUUCGAUCCUGAUAAAUCUUCCAUGAAAUCAAAACCUAGCAACUUAGCCAAACCAUAGGUGUUGAGAAAUGUAGGAUAUCUUCUAUUCCAAGAGAUAUUUGAGAGGAACAUGGUCAUUACAAAUUUUGAACUUCCUACCCCACAAAUAGUGUCUUUACCUAGCUAUUGCAUGUAAAUGCCUUCUUGCAUUAGAACAACACUAGUUCCUACUUUAAAAGUGGCUGUUCCUCUCAAAUUUACAAACUGCUUGUUGAAGUCUGAUAAAGUAAGAACAUGGGGUUUGGUCAUGGUUUUUUCAACAGAUCAAAACCAUCUUCUGUUUUUGAAUUCCAUUAUGAUUUGAAAAUUUGUUUUCUUCGCUCUAAAUAAAUUACUUCAAUAAUUACUAGAAUCAAAGAGAUAUUUUAUAGUGCAAAUAUUUUUAUGAAUCUUGUCAAGUUAAUUCAUAGCAUCAAGAAUGGGAUAAAAAAUAAUAAUUAUCUUUUAAAAAAAAUACCUCUUAAUAUGGAUUAUGUCCCCACACAUAUGUAUAGAGAUUAAAGAGAGGAGGGAAGAGUUAUUUUUUUUUAAAUAACUUCUCUAAAUAUUUAAAUCAGAUUUAUUUUUCAUAGAUGAACUAGAUCUAACUCAGUAAUCAACCCAUUCUUAGCAGUUUAGUAGAAAUUUACAAAAUAGACUCGUACCCUCUAAUAAACUUUCUAUAAUCUUUAGUAUCGGCAAAUCUAACACAUCUUUGAUCUUUCAUGGAUAUGUAAAAACCCUUUCUCCGGUAAUAAUAUCCCCUAAGUAUUUCACUUUAUCACUGCCAAAUGUACAUUUGCUUCUUCUUUUUUUGUCAUCACCUCAUGUGUUCUUCGCCCUUCAAACAUUGUUAUUAGAUGUUCAAAGUGUUCGCAAUGUGAAUGCAAUUCAAUUUACACGCUUCCAUACAACCUUUAAAGAGUAAAACAUCCCAUCAAUUGACAGAGCAAAAGAGAGAAGAAAGGCAGUGCGAAAGAGCCCAAGUGAUCCUCUCACGCAAAUGACUACCAUUAUUUGAUUUCAGAACUCUCAAACUCUUUUGAUCCAUCCUCCUCGACAUGAUAAUUCUUUUCUGGAAAUCAUAUAUAUUCCUUGGAAAGACAAUGAGGAAUUAACUGCAUUUUUUAAAUAAUGUUUCUCAUAAAGUAACAAUAAAGGACUAAAAUAAAUAGGUUUUAAGAAGAGGAUCAAAUAAGAUUCUUUGUAAGUUUGAGGGACCAAAACAGUAGAAAGGGGAGGAAGAAAAACUCUUCUGGGCCCACAAUAGUUAAUUCACCAAGUGACUGUGUCGGUGCAUUAAAGGCACGGGUCCCUCAAUCAACAAUAAAAUAAAAAGUCGGUCCCUUCAAAUUUUAUGUUAUGAUAAAGAGUUAAAAUUGGUACUUCAUUAUUCAUAACCAAUCACUGAUGAGGAUGAAGUAUAUUUGGUUGUGUGGUUGUUGAUUGUUUUUCAAAUAAUUUUUUGUAUUGAAAUAUAUGUUAAUAAUUUUUUUUUACUUUUAAAAAAUUAUUUUUAACAUCAGCACAUUAAAAGAUUCAAAACAUACAAAACAUAUUAAAUUUUAGUAAAAACAAAAUUUGAAUUUUUUGGGAACGCGGUUUGCACCGCGUUCCCAAAUGAUUUCGAAGUAUUUAGGAACGUGGUAAUGAUUUACUUUUUAAAAUAUUUUUAUUUAAAAAUAUAUUAAAAAAUAUAUUUUUAUUUUUAAAAAUUUAUUUUUGAUAUUAACACUUUACUGAAAAUACUAAAAAAUUAUUUUGAAGUAGAGAAAAAAAUGAAAAAAUAUUAAAUUUUUUUAAAAUUACUUUUAAAAUAUAAAACCAAACGGGAUGAUAAUUGACAGUCCCAACAACUAAAAUAUAAAUAGAUAAAUAUACGGUGAAAAUGAGGUUUUGAUGUUCAAGUACCAAAACAUAAGAAAUAUUAAGAGAUCAGGAGCACACAAGGAUAUUUGAUAAUGUAGUAAAAAAUAUUUUUAAAAUUUUUUUUUAUUAAAAGUAUAUUAAAAUAAUUUUUUUAUAUUUUAAAAGAUUAUUUCUAUAUAGCAUAUCAAAUAAAAUCCAUUUAAAAACAUAAAAAUAUUAAUUUAAAAUAAAAUUUAAUUUAAUUUUUUAAAAAAAUAUUUUUAAAAUUAAAAAAUAAACGAAUUCCUAGUGCAAUUAUUGGCAGCAAGAGAGAAGAGAAGAGAGAGUUUUUAACGUUUCCCACCGGAUAGUCAAUGAAAUUCGAGAGGUAAACAUUCCGGCCAGGUGUCAUCAGCCAUGGCCGUCUAUUCUCCACAACAACGUUUUGAGACGUUGAGAGAACUAAAUGUUUAAGCUCCCUAACUAUAUGCCAAUUUGACAAGGACAUGAUGAUGAAACACAGAAUUAAUGAAUCCCAACUGCCAGCUAACCUUCUAUGCCGACUGGCUACUUACUGGUGUUUUUAGUUUUCAUUUGUUUUUGUAUUUUUUAAAAAAUUAAAAUAUUUUUUUGUUUUAAUUUAAUAUAUUUUUAAUAUUUUUAAAUCAUUUUAAAAAACUGAUAUUAAAUUUAAAAAAUAUUAUUUUGAUAUAUUUUUGAGUAAAAAACACUUUAAAAAAUAAACGCAACUACACUCACAGAAAUGCUCAUAUUAUAUCUUGAUAUAAUCACAUGUUUUUUUAAAAAAAUAUAUUUUUUUAGUUUUAAAAUAAUUAUUUUUAAUAUUUUUGUAUCAUUUUAAUAUAUAUAUAUAUUAUUUGAAUAUAUUUUUUAAAAUAAAAAACACGGUUAAAAAAUUACGUCGACAGUACUCCCAAAACCUUAAAUCUUUGCUAUAUAAACACCAUUGUUCAGGACUUUGCACUCACUCAACAACUUCAAGGGCAGUAGUCUUAAACCAUACUCUAAAAUCUUCUUAUAAUUCCAGUUGUAAUAUUCUGCUAGCAUAUAAUGGCUUCUUCAAUGAGCUUGAAGCUGGCCUGUGCCAUGCUUGUAGCGAUGGUUGUUAGUGCACCACUAGCAGAAGCUGCCAUCUCAUGUGGCCAGGUGUCAAGCAGCUUGGCACAAUGUAUAACCUACCUCCAGAAGGGUGGGGCUGUGCCUGCAGCUUGCUGCAGUGGGUUGAAAGGACUUAAUUCUGCAGCCACGACCACCGCCGACCGCCAAGGGGUCUGCAACUGUUUGAAAUCCUUGGCUGGUAAGAUCUCUGGCAUCAACUAUGGCGUGGCUGCUGGCCUCCCUUCAAAGUGUGGUGUAUCCAUCUCCUACAAAAUCAGUCCUUCCACAGAUUGCAAAAGGUACGUAUUCUAUACUUCAUGUGUGCAUGCAUGCCACUGGAAAUUAUUGCGGUAGCUAGCCCGAUUUCAUAAAUCACAAUAAUACAGAAAUAUUGACUUCUUUUUUUCAUUUUUUGUUUUUUGUUUU